GCAAUACUGAAGAGUGCCAGACUAGGACGAAACGGCCGUCCAUUGU
rfam:Schistosoma curassoni strain Dakar, Senegal genome assembly, scaffold: SCTD_scaffold0001348